AUCUACAAAUGUUUCUUUGAAUUCUUGAAUGCUCUAUCCUGUGCCAGUGAAAGAUGUUUUUCUUUAAAGAUCUUAGCAGUGACUGACAUAUCACUGUUUGAGCAGAUGAUCCUGAGAAAGUAACCAAAGCCAUUUACAGAACAGGCGUUUCUGUAACUUGGGCCCUUUACGGAAGUAAGCCAGUGGGCUUGCGUGUUGUUUGAAGACUGGGCUUAUCUUUGUUCAGUGUUUUGCUUUGAGAGCACGACUGACUUUGAGUUUCAUCUGCACUCUGUGACCAAUUGUGAGACAGACCCAAAGUCUGAAGUUUGUGUUGACUUUAGAAAGUCAUUCUCUGAAGCCUUUUUUUGGAAUGAGUUUAAAGAAGGAAGAGUACCAAAAGCCAGGUCCAGUCUUGUAGUGGAUGUUUUGGAAAGAAAGGAUCAUGGUUCUCUGGGACCAUCAGAGUGGAUCAGAUUACAUUCUAAUGUAAUGAUGAAAACAAAGAACAAUAAAUCAGAGGGACUCUAAAACAUCCUAAAAUCUUCCCUCAGGCAAAUAAUACCAAAUCUUCGAGGGUGGAUAAUUGUUUUCUCUCCAUUUUCUUUUUUCUUUUUCCUUGCAGAUUGACAGAAUUAAAAAUUUGACAAGCCCCAUCAGUGGUUCAUUUAAGUGUUUUGGUAUACAGGUGAUUAGAAACUAUAAAAUCUCUUCUGCUUUAUUUUAAAGCUAUUGUCUUGCUCAGACUGCGUAAUUUAAAGGCAACUGUGUUAAUGUCUGUGGUGAAAAAUUUCUGAUCCUAAAAGUCAUGGACAAAAAGGGGGCAUUUGCCUACCUAGUGUCAAGGAGCUUAAACUGUAAUCAGAAGUCCAUGCAUUAUUGUUUUAUUCAAAUGUAAAGGGAAGAUGAAUGCUCAAGAUACCGCAAAGGAUCUUCUUAAAAUAUGCAAUUUGUGUGACUCUUGCUGAGUCAGAUGAGUGGGUGAUGCUGGGCAGAGCUGUAGAAGAAAACUGACUUUCAGCAAGGAAUAAGAAUCCAUGCUAAACAGUACAGAAGUGAGGCUGAGAAUAUGCUCAAGGAGAGUGCGGUGGUUGGAAUGUUUGUCCCUUCCAAAACUCACGUUCACAUUUAAUCCCCAGUGUGGCAGUAUUGAGAGGUAGAAUCUUUAAGAGGUGAUUGGGUCAUGAGGGCUUUGCCCUCAUGAAUUGAUUAAUCCACUCAUGGAUUAAUGGAUUAACGGGUUAGUGGAUUAAUGGGUUGUCAUGGGAGUGGGGCUUGUGGCUCUGUAAGAAGAGAAAGAGAGAGCAACACUCAGCCCCCUCGCCAUGUGAUGCCCUGCACUGCCUCGGAGUUUGCAGAGACUCACGACCAGCAAGAAGGCUCUCACCAGAUACCGUCUCUCAACCUUGGACUUCCCAGUAUCCAGAACUGUAAGAAAUAAAUUUCAUUUCUUUAUAAGUUAUCCAGUUUCAGGUAUUCUAUAAGCAACAGAAAAUGGACUAAAACAGAGAGGGAAGCCUCUGGAAGGGGGAAGCCUGAGUGGUUAAGUGGAGAAAACUAUGUAUUCAAUUAAGAUAGGGUGACAAAACCCAAGUGUGAAACCUACUAGUGGGGACUGGCAGAAAGAUACCCUAUUUAAACAGUGUUCUGUCCUUACGUAACGUUAUUCUCUAAUUGGCAUCUCUUAGAAAAUGGCUGGAUUUGGCCCACUUAGUUAAGUAGGUCCAGGAGGGGCAGAGACUUGGAGUUUAUUCAUUUUGGGAGGAAGCCCAGAAUAGUCAAUAGAACUAAAGGUAUGACGAUAGUGUUAGGUGCAUGUCCUGUAAUGUAGUUGGAAUCCUAAAAACUGGGAUAAGUUUGAGGUGUAGGGGUUACCCGAUUACAAUUUAUCCCUGGUUUUUGUCUUCAUUGUCUGCAUUGCUGUUAGGUUUUCUGAAGCCUUGUCUUCUCUAGUUUAAAUUGGAGCAGGAAUUAUUCUUUGAUAAAAGGCAGUAGUACCUCAGCUAACUUUCUCACUCAGAAUAUAUUUAGUCAACAGAUAACUGUUGACACAUACUAAAUACAAGUUCAUUACAUACUUUUGGAGGAUAUAAAGAUAAAUCAGGCAGAGUUUAUUCUUUUCUCAUGUAAUGGGGGUGGAGGCGAUGGACCAUCAUUUAAUGGUUGAGAACUGGGGUUCUGCAGUCAGACCCAAGCUGGUUCAGACCCUGGUGUUGCAAUGUACCAGAUGUAUA
rnacentral:lncRNA from 1 species